rnacentral:tRNA from 1 species
GCCUAGUUAGCUUAGUUGGCGUCUGCCUUGUAAGCGCUAGGCCGCGGGUUCGAUUCCCGCCCGGGGCG